CGGGGACGAUAGUUUCAGUUGGUAAUUCCGAUUGAGCGCGGUCUGAGUGGUGGCAUUACAAUUCACAAGAAGGCCCAUUUUAGAGCCAGCUGGUGAGCAUGAUAUCAAAAAGAGACCUCGUUUGUUUGGGCAGAGGCUGGGAAGAAGCGGCCACUGUAUCUCAAGAAGGACAUUGAAGAACUGGAAAAGGUGCAAAAGAGGACAACCAAGAUGAUCAGGGGCCUAGAGCACCUUCCUUAUGAGGCAAGGCUACAGCAUCUGGAGCUUUUUCAUUUGGAAAAGAGGCAACUAUGGGGAGAUUUCCAUCUCACAAUACUAGAAAUAAUAAUAAUAAUAAUAAUAAUAAUAAUAAUAAUAAUUCAAUUUCUAUA